rnacentral:rRNA from 1 species
CUACGGGAGGCAGCAGUGGGGAAUAUUGGGCAAUGGGCGCAAGCCUGACCCAGCAACGCCGCGUGAGGGAAGAAUGUCUUCGGAUUGUAAACCUCUGUCCUUGGGGACGAAAAAAAUGACGGUACCCAAGGAGGAAGCUCCGGCUAACUACGUGCCAGCAGCCGCGGUAAUACGUAGGGAGCAAGCGUUGUCCGGAAUUAUUGGGCGUAAAGGGUGCGUAGGCGGCAAUACAAGUCAGAUGUGAAAUCCCCAGGCUUAACUUGGGAGUUGCAUUUGAAACUGUAUAGCUUGAGUAAAGGAGAGGUAAGUGGAAUUCCUAGUGUAGCGGUGGAAUGCGUAGAUAUUAGGAGGAACACCAGUGGCGAAGGCGACUUACUGGUCUUUUACUGACGCUGAGGCACGAAAGCGUGGGGAGCAAACAGGAUUAGAUACCCGCGUAGUC